UGCGGCCAAGCUAAUAAGGGCGUGUGGGGGAUGUCUAGGCGUCAGGAGGCGAAGAAGGGCGUGGAAGACUGCGAAAAUCCCGGCGGAGCCGUCAAACGGGCGUUGAGGCCGGGGUCCCCGAAUCGGCAGGCACUGAAUCCAUAGGUGUUUGCGGCGAACCCAGGGAACUGAAACAUCUCAGUACCUGGAGGAAGAGAAAGAAACCUCGAUUCCGUUAGUAGCGGCGAGCGAAAGCGGAACAGCCCAAACCUCAGGGACUCGUCCCCGAGGGGUUGUAGGACCAGGCUUAUGAUUUCUGGAAGGUAGUCGAAGGCUCUGGAAUGAGCCGCCAAAGAGGGUGAAAGCCCCGUAGACGAAACUGGAAAGAGAUCGCCUGGCACCUGAGUAGGUCCGGACACGUGAAAGCCGGGCUGAAUCCGCGGGGCCCAUCCCGCAAGGCUAAAUACUCCCUGACGACCGAUAGCGAACCAGUAGCGCGAGCGAAAGAUGGGAAGAACCCCGACAAGGGGAGGAUAGUGAACCUGAAACCACAUGCCUACAAGCGCUCAAAGCCCUACGGAGCAAUCCAGGGUGAUGGGGUGCCUUUUGCAUAAUGAUCCGGCGACUUACCGUCACCAGCAAGGUUAAGCCGUUCCGCGGCGGAGCCGAAGCGAAAGCGAGUCUGAACAGGGCGAGAAGUUGGGGGCGGUAGACGCGAAACCACGGGUCCGAACUCACUAGUGUUGAAAAACUAGGGGAUGACCUGUGUGGAGGAUUGAAAGUAUCAUCAAACGUGGAGAUAGCUCGUUCUCUCCGAAAUAACUUUAGGGUUAACGUCGGGGUAGUUGGCACGAGGGGUAGAGCGACUGAAUCGGAAUGGGGGCCUACCCGGCUACCCAUCCGAACCAAACUCCGAAUACUCGUGUACAAGCUCCGGCAGCUAGACGGCGGGGGAUAAGCUCCGUCGUCGAGAGGGGAACAACCCAGACCGCCUGCUAAGGUCCCUAAAUGACGCUCAGUGCGAAAGGAAGUUGGAUUCCAGUGACAGCCAGGAUGUUGGCUUAGAAGCAGCCACCAUUUCAAAAGUGCGUAAUAGCUUACUGGUCGAGGAAUCCUGCGCCGAUAAUGAACGGGACUAAGCGUGAUACCGAAGCAGCGGGCUCAGUAAUGAGCGGUAGGAGAGCGUCGUGUGGUAGAGAGAAGCGGGACGGUGACGGCCCGUGGACGAGACACGAGUGAUCAUGCCGGAACGAGUAACGAUAAAACGGGUGAGAAUCCCGUUCGCCGAAAGCCUAAGGUUUCCUGGGGAAGGUAAAUCCGCCCAGGGUUAGUCGGCCCCUAAGUCGAGGCCGAAAGGCGUAGACGAUGGCCACCGGGUUAAUAGUCCCGGACCGUCUGGAGAGGUUGAAAGCGUCAGGACGCUGACUGGAAAGGGAUCGGCCCACUAGAUGUGGCCGUUCGCAAGACGAGGACGCAUACGUUUCCGAAGUCCCUGGAAAGGCAGUCGAGAAAAGCCGACGCUGGACAAACCAGCGACCGUACUAAAACCGACACAGGUAGGCGAGAUGAAUAUUCUCAGGCGCUCGAGAGAACGCUGGUGAAGGAACUCGGCAAAUUAACCCCGUAACUUCGGGAAAAGGGGUGCCUCCGUGGGUGUUAAAGCCCGUAGAGGCCGCAGAGAAAUGGAUCUGGCGACUGUUUACUAAAAACACAGGUCUGUGCGAACACGCAAGUGGAAGUAUACAGACUGACGCCUGCCCGGUGCCGGUAGGUUAAGGGAGAGGGUUAGCCGCAAGGUGAAGCCAGCAACCGAAGCCCCGGUAAACGGCGGCCGUAACUAUGACGGUCCUAAGGUAGCGAAGUUCCUUGUCGGGUAAGUUCCGACCUGC
rnacentral:rRNA from 1 species